rnacentral:lncRNA from 1 species
UAAAUUUCUGCCUUUCAAGCAAAAAAUCACCAAUAACACCUGCUGCUGCAUUGACUGGUCCAAUACGGACUUACCAAUGACUCCCAAUAGUGAGUCAUCAAACUCAAUUUGCUUCAGCAUGCAAAAAAGCCCCCUGUAUUUUAGCACCUUCUACUCACAGCGGUGAGAGAUGACACCUAAAAGAACUCCGGCCCUGGUAUGGUGUGCACUAACACCAGCAAAGCUGUCUGAUUUACAUCAAGAAACAGAUGUCCCUCAAGUGAUCUUGAGAUUUUCAGCACUUGGUAUAUUUGCCCUUGCUUCUAUCCACAUCCAGCCAGCACUGGACUUGGCUAUUACUGUCCAACAGACUUACUGAUGCAUUGGAUAUCUGCUUCAAGGUUUCAAAAUGCCUGGAUACACCAACAGGUACCAAAGAAUUAAAGGGCUUUGUAGCCCAUGGUUGUGUUGUCCAUUUUUGUUGGGAAUGACACGAGAAAUACACUGAGCAGCACACUGUAUUAAACUGCAAAGAAAGCUAAAAUUACUUUAGAAAAGCCUCAUUUCGUGAUCAAGGCCUCAAUGUUUUGCAUCAUUCUCUCACAUGCUUUCUGGUUCAGGUUCCUUCCACCACUUAGUCUGGCACGCAAACACAUUAAAACCCUCUUUUGAUAGGAGGAGUCCAAGAAGGACACUGUGCUUAAGACUUCAUGGGCUGUCUUUUUAAUAUAUAUUAGCAAGAUGACGGAUACCCUGAGUGGACCAGUCAGGGAAAGCAAACGAAGACAAGAAAUAUUCUCAGGGUGUUAUUGAUUAUCUGUUUUUCAGAGCAGAGGGAAUCGUUUUUAACUGGUUUAAACUAUGAUGGACUCAAGUGGAAAACGCAAGGAGAGUUAGCGAGGAGCAUAAUUGACUGGGCAUGGAACUCAGUAACCUCUCAGCACGCUGGAAGUGGUGGAGCAGAGGGGUUACGGCCAGGGCUGCUCCGCACCCACAGCCCUUUCUUCCCAAAGUGAACUCCGCCAGCAGCCAAAGACGGCAAUGACAACAAGCUGGCCCUGGCAGAUUGAAAGGCAACCUCAACCCCUUGAACAACAAGCACCACACCCCACUUGGCGAUAAGAGAUGAUUUGAGAAGAUAUUUGCUUACAUGUGUAUAAGCAAUUUGCUGUAUGAUGAAGCCCCGGUGUGCCUGUGUGAACGCACACGUAUGUGUGCAAAGGGGAAGGAACUGCAGAAGCGUAACAUUUCAUGAGAAAACAAACAAUUCAUUGCGGAUCCCAGGUAGCAGGCUUCAAUCAUCACAUCCCAUCGUACACACAGAACGUGAAACGUGGGCCACAAAGGCACCACGGGUGCUCCCCACAAAGAGAAACAACAGCUAAGCUCGGUCUGUCCCUGCAAAACAGCCUCGCUGUGUCCCUGCAGAGCGCUGUGAGAUGCAGCGGCAGAGGCACCCCAUAGGAGGAAUGGGGACAAAACACGACAGUUCACUGCAGAAACACGCUAGGGCCAGAUUCAUCUCUGCUGUCAUGGAGUCAAUUUGGAACAGCACUGUUGUCAUUGAAUUACUUGGGACUGCCUGCAAUUGGAAUCACAGAACCUUGUCUUCAAGUAGCAGGCUGCGUGCAUCAUGGAGACUUCCUUUUAACUAUCCAAUUUUUACAGCCUGUACAUAAGCAGGACUAUGUCUACAGCUAGGGUUUCUUGGUGUAAGCACAAUUAAAGCUGAUAGUAAUUACAAAAGUAUGUAUUACAUUUGUUUUUAACGCUAAACUUAAGAAUACGGCAGUAUUUGUUUUAUGUUUACUUGGCUGGUUGAGGUGGUGGUGGUAGAGCAGGGCUUCUCUCCACUCCGAGUCAGGGAUAGCAUCCCACCCUCCCACCUCACCAGGCACAGAACAAGCUGCUCCUGGACCAACUGUUCCAUUGCUACCUGUCAGGAGGAAAGCUGCAGGGAAUCGGACAUGAUGUCCGGGUAGCAGCAGCAUGAAGGAGAAAUGAAGGAGCAGGAUGGCAGAUCAACACAGAUUUCAUAUUUACUAUCCAGCCCAGUUAUUGUAGGCUGUGCCUACAGCUGUGCAUUUGAUUUAGUUUACAGGCACUGCUUCAGCCCUGGUAAGAGGUGGGAGUGUGCUUCACCGCGGCAUUUACACAGAUCACAACGUAAACAAAACUUGACCCAACACCUUUUAUGUUAUCUCAGAGAAAGAAUCAUAAACUGAGCAAAAUCCACACCAUUAACUCCAGUGCAGUCUUUGAUCAAAUCGGGAGCUAAAAGGAAAACAGAUUUCCUUAAAAACAAACUAACAAAGCAGUAUGUGCAUUUCAUUUUUAAUCCACUUUCUAGCAACCGCACCAUAGAAAGGCAGAGGCUCACAACAGCAAUGCAUCUGAACACGAAAUAUGGCCAUCCCAAGGCACACUAAUGGCAUCCACAGCGCUGGUAAGAGGGAGCACGGAUGUUUUUACAACUGUAGGAUGGGGAGAAUUACUGUUGAUUAUGGAGCAGCAAUGAAAUGCCACAGUUGUGAGUGAUAAACACAGCAAAUGCUACAGGGGGUCCUCCUGGAAAAGGAAAAAAGGGGAACGUCUCGUCAUGCAGAAAAAUAUCCCAGGAAAAAAGGAUGGAGGUGACGCCUGCGUGGCUGUUACCAACCACGGGCUUCAUUCUGCCCCCAGCUGCACACGUGCAACCCAUCACCAGGUAAGAUUUCUCAGUUUCUAUAGCGAAUGCAGGUGUACACCUAAGGGCAGAUUGUAACUUCCUCUCUCAAACAAAACACAGCGAAUGGAGACGGACUCCCAUUGCAGCAGAACACUGCACAGCCGCUUUGCCCUACAGGAAACACCAUAUGCAUGUCAGCCAGCAGAACCUUCUUACUUCUUCUCGUUAGUACUGUGCAUACGCAACCAGAUGCAAAUAUAUACACUUGCAUGCAUUGCUACUGCCACAUAACCCAGCCUGGGAUAUCCCAUUCCCAAACACCUGAGUACCUACACAGCUCUUCAUGGGUGCAAAGCCUCCAGGACUGCAGCAAUGAAACAGCGGAACAGAACUCACAUUGCCUGCGAGGCCCAUCUAUUCAUCUCUGCCCACAAGACUCCCUCGCACCACUGCAUGCUUUUUAUACUUCAUUAAAGCAAAUCACUGAUGUUCUUCAGCUGACAAACAUCCCCGGAAAGGAUGCAAAGAGCGGCAAGAAUUCGGCUUUGGCAAGCAGAUCUAUUUUCAUCUUACAUUUACAGUUGCUUGUGCAUAUCUAUAUAUCCAUCUGCAUCCCUAUCUUCAUAAAAACCUAACUGCAACAAAAUAAAUGAUAAUAAUUCUGCUGUUUCUGUUUCCGCUCUUCCCCAUCAGAAAGCUGGUAAUAAAACAAGCUCUCUAAAACAGGCAUUACCAACCCAGGCCAUGCAAACAAACACUUCACUGUUUUAUAAUCUCACAUGUCGAAUGAACAUCAUCGUUCCCUUUGGUGCCUUAAAAUAUCGGGUCCAUAAAAUUACUAAAAGGCAGAGCAGCAAUGCUGCCUAACACGCAGCCCACGGGAAGGCUGACAGUGCCCCAUCAGCUUCGCUUGUUGGCAGCUCUGAAUGUGCGUAGCAGUGUUGGUUGGGCAAAGCGCUCACAGAGCACUGUGUGAACACAGCCGGGCCGUGGGAGCAGCACACCACGAGGUGACCCCGAGCCCUGGGGAUGCGGAUGGUGCAGUGUCCCUUUGGCCUUCUGCAGGCGGAAGAUGCCAGCACUUAUCCUAGCUGUGCAGCACAGAGGGCUAAAGGAAAUACCGUGGGACACCAGAUAUGGGCAUUAGAGUGCAAUCCCUUACAGAGCGUGGUCAGUCCACUGCUGUAGUUGGUUUUAAAUAGCACUGUGCACUGCGUGAUGGAUGUUGACAAAACAAAACAACCCCAUAAUUACAAACAAACAAAAAAAAGACCCAAACCCUGAACCGACGUCACUGGUGAAAGACGCAGAAAUGAAAACACAGCACAGAGCAGCUGAGGGCAGGGGCGCCCUGUCCUGCGGGAGCAGCAGCGGAGCGGAGCAGCACCACAACCGCCCGGCAGCGCUCAGCCCGAACCGAGCGCGCAGCGCUGCGACCCGCGCGGUGCUCCCGGCCCCGGGUUGGGCUCCCGGGCGCGAGGCCGUGCGGGGCUGCCCGAGAACCGCGGUGCCCCUCAGACAAAGGGCUUCUCACAAGGGUUUACCUUGGGCUUGCCAGGAUUCCUUUGCAAACGUGUUUACGUGGGGCCGUUACGUAUUUACUUUUACG